CGGUGACAAACCGGAGGAAGGUGGGGAUGACGUCAAGUCAUCAUGGCCCUUACGGCCAGGGCUACACACGUGCUACAAUGGUCGGUACAAAGGGUUGCCAAGCCGCGAGGUGGAGCUAAUCCCAUAAAACCGAUCGUAGUCCGGAUCGCAGUCUGCAACUCGACUGCGUGAAGUCGGAAUCGCUAGUAAUCGUGAAUCAGAAUGUCACGGUGAAUACGUUCCCGGGCCUUGUACACACCGCCCGUCACACCAUGGGAGUGGGUUGCUCCAGAAGUAGCUAGUCUAACCGCAAGGGGGACGGUUACCACGGAGUGAUUCAUGACUGGGGUGAAGUCGUAACAAGGUAGCCGUAGGGGAACCUGCGGCUGGAUCACCUCCUUA
rnacentral:rRNA from 1 species